UACGGAGGGGGCGAGCGUUAUUCGGAAUUAUUGGGCGUAAAGGGCGCGUAGGCGGCUUUCUAAGUCAAAGGUGAAAUCCCUCGGCUCAACUGAGGAACUGCCUUUGAAACUGGAAGGCUUGAGGCCGGGAGGGGGUAGCGGAAUUCCCAGUGUAGCGGUGAAAUGCGUAGAUAUUGGGAGGAACACCAGUGGCGAAGGCGGCUACCUGGACAGAUACUGACGCUGAGACACGAAAGCGUGGGGAGCAAACAGG
rnacentral:rRNA from 1 species